rnacentral:rRNA from 1 species
UACAGAGGGUGCGAGCGUUAAUCGGAAUUACUGGGCGUAAAGCGUGCGCAGGCGGUGAUGUAAGACAGGUGUGAAAUCCCCGGGCUUAACCUGGGAACUGCAUUUGUGACUGCAUCGCUGGAGUGCGGCAGAGGGGGAUGGAAUUCCGCGUGUAGCAGUGAAAUGCGUAGAUAUGCGGAGGAACACCGAUGGCGAAGGCAAUCCCCUGGGCCUGCACUGACGCUCAUGCACGAAAGCGUGGGGAGCAAACAGG